rnacentral:rRNA from 1 species
UACGUAGGGUGCAAGCGUUGUCCGGAAUUAUUGGGCGUAAAGAGCUCGUAGGCGGUUUGUCGCGUCGGCCGUGAAAUCUCCACGCUUAACGUGGAGCGUGCGGUCGAUACGGGCAGACUUGAGUUCGGUAGGGGAGACUGGAAUUCCUGGUGUGGCGGUGGAAUGCGCAGAUAUCAGGAGGAACACUGGUGGCGAAGGCGGGUCUCUGGGCAGUAACUGACGCUGAGGAGCGAAAGCGUGGGGAGCGAACAGG